rnacentral:rRNA from 1 species
CUACGGAGGGUGCAAGCGUUACUCGGAAUCACUGGGCGUAAAGCGCGCGCAGGCGGCUAUUUAAGUUGGAUGUGAAAGCCUACGGCUCAACCGUAGAACUGCAUCCAAAACUACUUAGCUAGAGUGUGGGAGAGGAAGAUGGAAUUAGUUGUGUAGGGGUAAAAUCCGUAGAGAUAACUAGGAAUACCAAAAGCGAAGGCAAUCUUCUGGAACACUACUGACGCUGAGGCGCGAAAGCGUGGGGAGCAAACAGGAUUAGAAACCCUUGUAGUCC